UACGUAGGGUGCAAGCGUUAAUCGGAAUUACUGGGCGUAAAGCGUGCGCAGGCGGUGAUGUAAGACAGAUGUGAAAUCCCCGGGCUCAACCUGGGAACUGCAUUUGUGACUGCAUCGCUGGAGUACGGCAGAGGGGGAUGGAAUUCCGCGUGUAGCAGUGAAAUGCGUAGAUAUGCGGAGGAACACCGAUGGCGAAGGCAAUCCCCUGGGCCUGUACUGACGCUGAGGUGCGAAAGCGUGGGGAGCAAACAGG
rnacentral:rRNA from 1 species